rnacentral:rRNA from 1 species
AUUGAACGCUGGCGGCAGGCCUAACACAUGCAAGUCGAGCGGAACGGCGGACGGGAGAGUGAUAAAUAGGAAUCUUCCUGGUAGUGGGGGAUAACGUCCGGACUCGGGCGCUACUACCGCAUCAUCUCACAUGAGGCAAGCCUGGAUUAGCUAGUUGGUUGGGUAAAGGCCUACCAAGGCGACGAUCCGUAACUGGUCGGAGAGGAUGCUCAGUCAGACUGGAACUGAGACAGGGUGCAGUCUCUUACGGACGGCGACAGUGGGGAAGAUUGGGCGAUGGGCUAAAGCCUGAGCCUGCCAUGCCUGGUGGAGGAAGAGGGUCUUCGGAUUGUAGGGCACGUUAAGGUGGGAGGCGUUACAGACAGAAUUAGCACCGGCUAACUUCGUGCCAGCAGCCGCGGUAAUAC